rnacentral:rRNA from 1 species
UACGUAGGCAGCAAGCGUUGUUCGGAGUUACUGGGCGUAAAGGGUGCGUAGGCGGCUUCUUAAGUCUGGUGUGAAAUCUCCCGCUCAACUGGGAGGGUGCGCCGGAUACUGAGGGGCUAGAGUGUGGGAGAGGAAAGUGGAAUUCCUGGUGUAGCGGUGAAAUGCGUAGAUAUCAGGAGAAACACCGGUGGUGUAAACGGCUUUCUGGACCAUAACUGACGCUGAGGCACGAAAGCGUGGGUAGCAAACAGG